rnacentral:tRNA from 1 species
GGAGUGUAGCGCAGCUUGGUAGCGCACAUCGUUCGGGACGAUGGGGUCGCAGGUUCAAAUCCUGCCACUCCGAGCCA